rnacentral:rRNA from 1 species
UUGUCUCAAAGAUUAAGCCAUGCAUGUCUAAGUAUAAGCAAUUUAUACUGCGAAACUGCGAAUGGCUCAUUAAAUCAGUUAUCGUUUAUUUGAUAGUACCUUACUACUUGGAUAACCGUGGUAAUUCUAGAGCUAAUACAUGCUAAAAAUCCCGACUUACGGAGGGAUGUAUUUAUUAGAUUAAAAACCAAUGCCCUUCGGGGCUCUCUGGUGAUUCAUAAUAACUUCUCGAAUCGCAUGGCCUUGCGCCGGCGAUGGUUCAUUCAAAUUUCUGCCCUAUCAACUUUCGAUGGCAGGGUCUUGGCCUGCCAUGGUUACAACGGGUAACGGAGGGUUAGGGCUCGACCCCGGAGAAGGAGCCUGAGAAACGGCUACUACAUCCAAGGAAGGCAGCAGGCGCGCAAAUUACCCAAUUCCGAUACGGAGAGGUAGUGACGAUAAAUACUGAUACAGGGCUCUUUUGGGUCUUGUAAUUGGAAUGAGUACAAUUUAAAUCCCUUAACGAGGAACAAUUGGAGGGCAAGUCUGGUGCCAGCAGCCGCGGUAAUUCCAGCUCCAAUAGCGUAUAUUAAAGUUGUUGCAGUUAAAAAGCUCGUAGUUGAACCUUGGGCCUGGCUGGCCGGUCCGCCUCACCGCGUGUACUGGUUCGGCCGGGCCUUUCCCUCUGGGGAACCUCAUGCCCUUCACUGGGUGUGCUGGGGAACCAGGACUUUUACUGUGAAAAAAUUAGAGUGUUCAAAGCAGGCCUAUGCUCGAAUACAUCAGCAUGGAAUAAUAGAAUAGGACGUGCGGUUCUAUUUUGUUGGUUUCUAGGACCGCCGUAAUGAUUAAUAGGGACAGUCGGGGGCAUCAGUAUUCAAUUGUCAGAGGUGAAAUUCUUGGAUUUAUUGAAGACUAACUACUGCGAAAGCAUUUGUCAAGGAUGUUUUCAUUAAUCAGGAACGAAAGUUAGGGGAUCGAAGACGAUUAAUCUGGUCGUCCACAGUUAGGCGAGAGCCUAGCUAGUCCGCUGUAACGGCGUUACAGCGGGCGACACCGUCAAAUUGCGGGUACCUCCUUAGAGCCCUCACCACACCCUACCGCUAGAAAUAGCGGCAGGUCGUAACAGUGUGGGGGAUUGGACCAUCCGCAGCCAAGCCCGCAAAACCUACCCGGUAGGUUAGGGUGCAGUUCACAGACUAAACGUCGGUGGGAACUUAGUUCUUAAGAUAUAGUCGACCCGCGCCUGAAAAGGUGACGACAAGCGCUGAGGGUAGCGCUGUAAAUCGCAGAUACCGUCGUAGUCUUAACCAUAAACUAUGCCGACUAGGGAUCGGACGAUGUUAUUUUUUGACUCGUUCGGCACCUUACGAGAAAUCAAAGUUUUUGGGUUCUGGGGGGAGUAUGGUCGCAAGGCUGAAACUUAAAGAAAUUGACGGAAGGGCACCACCAGGGGUGGAGCCUGCGGCUUAAUUUGACUCAACACGGGGAAACUCACCAGGUCCAGACACAAUGAGGAUUGACAGAUUGAGAGCUCUUUCUUGAUUUUGUGGGUGGUGGUGCAUGGCCGUUCUUAGUUGGUGGAGUGAUUUGUCUGCUUAAUUGCGAUAACGAACGAGACCUUAACCUGCUAAAUAGCCCGUAUUGCUUUGGCAGUACGCUGGCUUCUUAGAGGGACUAUCCGCUCAAGCGGAUGGAAGUUUGAGGCAAUAACAGGUUGAAUUCACAGGCCUGUAAAAGUAAGCCUCGUUAAAGAAGUUACUAGUCCAGUACCUUUAUCUCUUUUGGGGAAGCCCCCUUCUAUCGGGAAGAGACGCAGCGCUGAAAAGCACUGCUUGGUACGGGCGACACUACCUGGUACAGGGAACGCUUCAGGCGCUACAGCGCCUAAGCCGAUCCUGUGGCGAGUCCGUUUAGCGCCGGACCGUCGCAACGCGCGGAAAGGAGUGGGUUAGGCCUACAAGGCCUAGCUUAAGGUACGUGCUAAUCCCUCGAGAAAUCGAGCCCCUAUAAUUAAGCCCGAUAGGCUGAAGUAUAGGGGGGCCUGAGAUCUUCAGGCUGGUGUUUUUACUGCUGUGAUGCCCUUAGAUGUUCUGGGCCGCACGCGCGUUACACUGACAGAGCCAGCGAGUACUUCCUUGGUAGAAAUACCCGGGUAAUCUUGUUAAACUCUGUCGUGCUGGGGAUAGAGCAUUGCAAUUAUUGCUCUUCAACGAGGAAUCCCUAGUAAGCGCAAGUCAUCAACUUGCGUUGAUUACGUCCCUGCCCUUUGUACACACCGCCCGUCGCUACUACCGAUUGAAUGGCUCAGUGAGGCUAUCGGACUGGCCUAGAGGAGUCGGCAACGACACCUCGGGGCCGGAAAGUUAUCCAAACUCGGUCAUUUAGAGGAAGUAAAAGUCGUAACAAGGUCUCCGUUGGUGAACCAGCGGAGGGAUCAUUACUGAGUUAUCAAAACUCCAACCCUAUGUGAACCUUACCUCUGUUUCCUCGGCCAACUGCAAAGGCUUACCCUAUAGGGGGUUACCCUGUAGGGAGGUGCCCGAUGACGCUAUCCAACCCCUGCCUCGGGGGAGGUUAGCUGAGGGCCCCUCCAAGCCGGCCGCAGCGCCGAUCGAAAAAAACCUUUUCGAAAACACUUUGUCCAACUCUACCCUAUAGAGCUAAUCGUUCGAAAAAAUCUCUUAUCUCGAGGCUUUUCUUUGCCUUGGGGCUGAGGCUUUUCCUUGCCUUGCCUUUCUAAUCAGUUCGAAUAUGUUUCCCGGUUGGAAUUUUUGCUCGAAGUUUACGAUGUUACGACCUUACGAAUGCCUUCGCGUGAAAUGUUACCCUGUACCAACAGAUCCCUUUCGCUCGAAUGUAUUUCCCGGUUGGAAUUUUUUGCUCGAGUUUUAAUUCUUUUCUGUACUAAUACUGUUUUUGUUUCUGUUCGAAAGUCUUUCCCGGUUGGAAUUUUUCGCUCGAGGUUCUAUUUUAAUAGAGUCUGAAUUGCAUCAAAACAAAUUUUGUGAAAACAACUUGUUAUCAAAACUUUCAACAACGGAUCUCUUGGUUCUGGCAUCGAUGAAGAACGCAGCGAAAUGCGAUAAGUAAUGUGAAUUGCAGAAUUCAGUGAAUCAUCGAAUCUUUGAACGCACAUUGCGCCCAUUAGUAUUCUAGUGGGCAUGCCUAUUCGAGCGUCAUUACAACCCUUAAGCCCUGUUGCUUAGCGUUGGGAAUCUACGGCUUAGGCGUAGUUCCUUAAAAUUAGUGGCGGAGUUAUAGCACUCUCAGCGUAGUAAUUUGCCUCGCUUCUGAGUAGCUAUAGCUGCCUGCCGUAAAACCCCUAUACUUCUAGUGGUUGACCUCGGAUUAGGUAGGAAUACCCGCUGAACUUAAGCAUAUCAAUAAGCGGAGGAAAAGAAACCAACAGGGAUUGCCCUAGUAACGGCGAGUGAAGCGGCAACAGCUCAAAUUUGAAAUCUGGCCCUAGCGGUCCGAGUUGUAAUUUGCAGAGGAUGCUUUUGGUGCGGUGCCUUCCGAGUUCCCUGGAACGGGACGCCAGAGAGGGUGAGAGCCCCGUACGGUUGGACACCUACCCUAUAUAUAGCUCCUUCGACGAGUCGAGUAGUUUGGGAAUGCUGCUCUAAAUGGGAGGUAAAUUUCUUCUAAAGCUAAAUACCGGCCAGAGACCGAUAGCGCACAAGUAGAGUGAUCGAAAGAUGAAAAGCACUUUGAAAAGAGGGUUAAAUAGCACGUGAAAUUGUUGAAAGGGAAGCGUUUGCGACCAGACCUUUUCCAGGCGGAUCAUCCGGUGUUCUCACCGGUGCACUUCGCCUGGUUUAGGCCAGCAUCGGUUUUCUUAGGGGGAUAAAGGCUUGGGGAACGUAGCUCUUUAGGGAGUGUUAUAGCCCCUUGCGUAAUACCCCUCGGGGGACCGAGGACCGCGCUCUGCAAGGAUGCUGGCGUAAUGGUCGUCAACGACCCGUCUUGA